rnacentral:rRNA from 1 species
GAUGAACGCUGGCGGCGUGCCUAAUACAUGCAAGUAGAACGCUGAAGCUUGGUGCUUGCACCGAGCGGAUGAGUUGCGAACGGGUGAGUAACGCGUAGGUAACCUGCCUCUUAGCGGGGGAUAACUAUUGGAAACGAUAGCUAAUACCGCAUAAAAGUCGAUAUCGCAUGAUAUUGAUUUGAAAGGUGCAAUUGCAUCACUAAGAGAUGGACCUGCGUUGUAUUAGCUAGUUGGUGAGGUAACGGCUCACCAAGGCGACGAUACAUAGCCGACCUGAGAGGGUGGUCGGCCACACUGGGACUGGGACACGGCCCAGACUCCUACGGGAGGCAGCAGUAGGGAAUCUUCGGCAAUGGGGGCAACCCUGACCGAGCAACGCCGCGUGAGUGAAGAAGGUUUUCGGAUCGUAAAGCUCUGUUGUAAGAGAAGAACGAGUGUGAGAGUGGAAAGUUCACACUGUGACGGAACUACCAGAAAGGACG